AGCAGCAUGUCGAGCGGCCAUUUUGUUAGCUAGCUUUGAGGUUACAGAGGUUAGCUGCUGUUCGGAUGGUUCAGCGCUUACAUUUCGAAUAAAAAGGAAACGUGUGGAUGUUUUUGUGUGAGUUCAGUAUCCGACCACACGCUCGUAGACAGGAGGGGAACUCAUGUGUUUCCAGGCACGACGGUAAACCGGAAGCUCGUUCAUUUUUGAAGCUAACGUGAGUUUGCUAGCUUGUUAGCUUGGUCGGCUAACUUGUUUGUGCGUAUCGGGUGUGAGUGAAAGAAAACAACCUAGUCUGAUGACCGCGGACUGUUAAGUGUUCGAGAGCUGUGGGUGUGUGUCGCACACAGUUUGUCUGUCUGUGUGUGUCUGUGUGUGUGUUGUGGCUGCUCCUGUAUCUCAGCUCACACGGUUAGCAGCUUCACUUGAGCGAGCAUCGACGUUUUGGAAACGCGUGCAUCAUCGUGGUGUUAGCCGCGCUCCAUCAGCUGAUUCCUGCCGGACUCAGAGAUCAUGUCGGAGCUGUACAUUCGUGUGGCGGAGGAGGAGAACGAGGAGCCCAUGGAGAUCCCCUCGGAGGACGACGGGACCGUGUUGCUGUCAUCGGUGGCGGCUCAGUUUCCAGGGGCGUGCGGGCUGCGCUACAGGAACCCGGAGUCCCAGUGCAUGAGAGGGGUCCGGCUCGUGGAGGGAGUCCUGCAUGCACCUGAGAACGACUGGGGAAGUCUGGUGUACGUCGUCAAUUAUCCCAAAGAUAACAAAAGGAAGAUGGAUGAAAUAGAUGCUGCCUCAGCUGUGAAAGUCAAGAGGGGCUUUCAGAAGACAUCAGAUCUCAUUGUCCUCGGGCUACCGUGGAAAACAACAGAACAAGACUUGAAAGAUUAUUUCACUACUUUCGGGGAGGUCAUCAUGGUGCAGGUCAAGAGAGAUGUAAAAACUGGCAACUCAAAAGGAUUUGGAUUUGUCCGAUUCACUGAAUACGAGACACAAACCAAAGUCAUCGCUCAGAGACACAUGAUCGAUGGAAGGUGGUGUGAUUGCAAACUUCCUAACUCAAGGAAUUUUCCUUUUGACUGUCCCUCUCAGGCAUGUCCUGAUGAGCCGAUGCGAAGCCGUAAAAUCUUUGUUGGCCGCUGCACAGAGGACAUGUCAACUGAUGACCUGAGGCAGUACUUCAUGCAGUAUGGUGAAGUCACUGAUGUCUUCAUCCCCAAACCUUUCCGGGCUUUUGCAUUUGUCACAUUUGCUGAUGACCAGGUUGCCCAAGCCCUAUGUGGCGAGGACUUGAUCAUCAAGGGCAUCAGCGUGCACAUCUCUAAUGCUGAGCCCAAACACAACAACAGUAGGCAAAUGAUGGAUCGAGGGCGGUUUGGGGCUGGUGGGUUCAGUCAGGGCUAUGGCAGUAAUCGUGGUGGGCUAGGCAGCGGUAGCAGUGGGGUUAACUUUGGGGCUCUCGGUCUUAACCCUGCAAUGGUGGCUGCUGCUCAGGCAGCUCUGCAGAGCAGUUGGGGAAUGAUGGGCAUGCUGGCUAACCAGCAGGGUCUGACCACAACGGCAGGCACAGCCACUACAACCCGAGACCAGACCUAUAGCUCUGCCAGCACCAGUUACAGCAGCCCCAGCUCGGCUAGCCUCGGCUGGGCUGCAGGAACUAACACCGCCUCCAACAGCGGCUUCAGCUCUGGCUUUGGCACGUCUAUGGAGUCUAAGUCUUCUAGUUGGGGAAUGUAGAUAGCUUCUAGUUGGAUUUUUUUUGUUGCUAUUAGACUAAUCUGGUAAGUAUACCUACGGGGGGGCUGAUUCUAUCUUUUUUUCUAGUUAUUUAAAAAUACACUGCCUUUUUACUUUGGUAAAGAGAAGAUUUGCAUGUGACUUAUGUUGUCGUGAACUGAAUGGGAGAAAGUUUUAGUUUGUUAGAUGAACCUGCCACACCACCUUUGUUGUUUUUGAGAAAAUGUUCCGCAGAGAUGAUUGUGCAUGCAAGAUAAAUAUUUAAACAUGCACGAGUAUCUCAAGUGCUCCUCAGCCCCUUGUAAAAUGGGCUUGAUAUGAUUCUAUGUGUGUAAGCAGUUGAUUGCAUCUUUUUGUUUGUUUUUUGUUUGACGUCUUUUGGAAACGCCUUCAUGAAAAUCUCUUCUGCAGUUCACCAACUCUUUCCCAAUUUCCCGGGAGGAAGCGCCUCAUUGGCAGCAAUGUUCGACAGAUCUCAGUAUCAGUUCCCCUCCUCCAAUGUGUAAAUGCUUUGUCAUCAAAGAACACAGCUUCACCCUGCAUAUACUGUAUUAGACGGGACCUCGGACACGGACAGCGCAGGUUUUCGUUGGAGUCAGUUGUGGAGAAGCUGAAGACAUUGGUGGGUGGGCCCGGUGCAAACCAUCAGUGGAAUUGCU